CAGGCAGACAGGCUGUGUUUAACCCCCAAAAUGGCUUGCAGAGCCUGAAAGCUUGGGAGUGAAGACCAUUUCUCCAGCAUCUUGAUACAAAAUGUGUAAAACAUAGUAUCUCACCAUGUCAUUAGUCUACAGAUUCCACGCUCCAGCAUACUUACAUAUUUACAGGAAAGAGGCAGGGAGAUCAAGAGGACUGUGCUGAGAUGUUUAGAGAGAAGAAUUUGGGAUCAAGCUGCAGCAUUAUUAACGAGGAGAGGGAGGGUACGGUGGCCCAGAAAACAAAAAAGAGCUGCUCACAUGAGUUUUGAGAAGAGACGGUGGAGAAGACACACAUACAUUCCUAAUUUCUUGCCUUGGCUGGAUAACACGGCUGCAAAAGCAACUUAAGACACCUAGACUUUCUUCACUGGCCCCUAUCUUUAAAGAUCACCCACUAUGAGAAGAAAACCAGAACCUUCCACUAAACUGCACAGGGAGCCCAGGUCAGUGCCCGUCAAAUGUGGCCAUAUAUCCACCAACCAAAACUACAAAAUGUAUUUUCAGCCACAGGCAGGAGCAGAACCUUCCAGAUGUACACUCUCUUGGUGAACUUAAGCUGGAAGUUGGGGUGUGCUCACGGACUAAAACAAUGCUCUCUAGAAACAAAACACUUGAACGAGCAUGCACCAAGCCGAGCUGAUGUUGGUGGUCAGGGAGAAGAUGGGACAGUGAAAAACAUGAAGCUCCUUGAAGAAUCUGCCAUGAUCCUAGUGUAUACAGUUUCAGAACUACCAGUCCCUACUGUAUCAGGGCUCACUACAAUGAUGCUGUCAGAGAUGGGAAAGCCCUGGUUGCCUGU